UUGAUAGAAACCAAAAAUAAAGGUAUAUCACUGUUAAUGAUAAAAUUGAAUUUAUAUUCCUAUCAAG
rnacentral:tRNA from 1 species